GCAUCGGUAGUCUAAUGGCUAGGAUAGAGGCCUUCCAAGCCUUUGAUCCGGGUUCGAAUCCCGGCCGAUGCACCA
rnacentral:tRNA from 1 species